CAAAAAUUAUGUGAAAAAAGAAUAAAUAUAAAAUUACUAUUUUUAACAAUUGGAAAUGUAUGGUCCACUUUUCAUAAAGCGCUUAAAACACUAUGAGAAAAUCUUGUUUAACAAAUACAAUGUAGCUGUAAAAUUUUAUGACAACUUUAUACCAUUUGCUGAGCUUAACAAGGCAGCAAAAUCUAAUGAGUCAUCUCCCUAGUCAUGAUAGGGACACAUUUAAAAAAAAGGAAGAUACACAAAAAAAUGUAUGAAUUGGUAUUAAAACUUAUUGAUAAAAAAAGAAUAAGGUUUUCAUAAUUAAAAUUGAUUAAAAUUAAUUGCUGAAUAAA
rnacentral:lncRNA from 1 species